rnacentral:rRNA from 1 species
GAGUUUGAUCGUGGCUCAGGAUGAACGCUGGCGGCGUGCCUAAUACAUGCAAGUCGAGCGAACGGACGAGAAGCUUGCUUCUCUGAUGUUAGCGGCGGACGGGUGAGUAACACGUGGGUAACCUACCUAUAAGACUGGGAUAACUCCGGGAAACCGGGGCUAAUACCGGAUAACACAUGAAACCGCAUGGUUUCAUGAUGAAAGACGGUCUUGCUGUCACUUAUAGAUGGAUCCGCGCUGCAUUAGCUAGUUGGUAAGGUAACGGCUUACCAAGGCAACGAUGCAUAGCCGACCUGAGAGGGUGAUCGGCCACACUGGAACUGAGACACGGUCCAGACUCCUACGGGAGGCAGCAGUAGGGCAUCUUCCGCAAUGGCGAAAGCCUGACGGAGCAACGCCGCGUGAGUGAUGAAGGUCUUCGGAUCGUAAAACUCUGUUAUUAGGGAAGAACAUAUGUGUAAGUAACUGUGCACAUCUUGACGGUACCUAAUCAGAAAGCCACGGCU